CUCCUGACCUCUAGCGAUCCUCCUGCCUUGGCUUCCUAGCAUUACAGGUGUGAGCCACUUCACCCGGCUUAACUUAAACUUUUAUACCAAAUUGUCCACCAAAUGAUUUCUAUUCUACUCCAGAAAUGUUUUCCUUUUGUCCUUUCCUCGCACUUCAAGUUCUCUUUUCCUCUAUGGACAAUGGUAGCUAACUUGUGUCCUUGCCAGGCCAAACCUUCCUUUAUGCAAUGGCCUAGUUUAUGUUCUUUAAAACAAGCUAAUGUAUGUAAACACUGGUUAAAUCUGAAUAAGGUCUGAAGUAUAAUUGAUAGUAUUGUACCAAUGUCAAUUUCCUGGUUUUGAUAUUUUUUUCAUAGAUUUUUAAGAUGCUACCAUUGGGAAAAGUGUACAUGGGCCUUCUUUGCAAAUUCCUGAGCCUCCAUUCCUCCUUUGCUGAAGGCCCACAGCAGGCCAGGCCCCAGUGCCCCGGGAGGAGGCCUGCACCCUCACAGUGGCAGCAGGAGGGAGAGGUACAGAGAGGUGAAGUUCACGGCCCUGGAAUAUGUUCACCUCAGAGGUCGUGGGACAGAGUCGGAGCAAAAUAUAAGUGUUCCAGUUCUCCACCGCCACUCCAAGAAUGACCGCCAGAGGGCACUCUUUCCCCCGUCUAAGGUCUUUGGUCUUCUGCACAGUAGCCAGGACCCGAGCCCUGGCGUGCCUGGAAUCUGCCUGCUAGCUGGUGUUGAGUUCCUCGGGCUCCCUACAGUCCUGUCCGAGAGAAGAGGGCUGCUCUCCCUCAGUUUCCUUGAGGGAGGACAGAGUCACAGAGAAUGGAGAAUUGGGAGGAGGAGCAGGAGGAGGGAAUCCCUGAAAUAGGGGCAGCCCAGCUAGUGCCCAUCCGAAGCAAGGACAGGAGAAAAGCAAGGACAGUACCAUGCAGUACUGUGUCUGUCUGGGGGCCCUGUAGGGACCAGGGCGGCAGCCUUUUCUUGGGAGCCUGGACGCCUCAAGUCGUCAUAUACUGCUGCUGAUGGGGUGGGGGCACCCCCAGAUCAGCCAGUGAGAAGGACUGCAGGCUGGCAGCACACCCCUCCUGCCACUGGCAGCCAUGCCACGCCAGGUCAGGUGCGACCUUGCAGAAUCACGCAUGCACUUGCCUCAAGGCCAGGGAAGUGACGCAAUGGGCGCAGCUGGGGUUAAUUACAGGCUGCAGGGAGCGGUGGGGUCUGUGGGCGAGCAGGCUCCCCUUGAAGGUAUCCACACCCCAAGUUGCUUGAAACACUGCUGGCCUAAAAAGGCAUAUCUGGAAGCUACUUAGCUUUGAAAUGCCUGGCGCAGGAUAAAGUCCCAACUCCUUAGUAAGACUCUGGGGACCUUUUACAGCUAUGCCCACCCUGCUUUUCCAUCCUCAUCUCCUGCCACUGCCCGCCCCCCCAGCCCCCCGCACUUUUUGCUCGGUCCAGACCGAACGUGCCACGCCCCUCUGUGCCCUUUGUCCGGCACACGCCCUUGGGCCAGAAGGGCCCUUCUCUUCCCCACCUCAUUCUCCAUCCACUCGGGCGUAGCCCGGGCUCCUCCAGGGGCUGUGGGCACGAGCAGAGCGGGCACAGGCAGAGCUCCUAGGGGCACCGUUCGAGUGGGAGUGUGCGAAGUGGUGCCCCCGGAGCCCGCAGCCGGCCCUCCACGCGACCUAAGUCACUGGGGUCACUCCUCUCGAGGCUACCUCCGCGGCCAGCCACCAGAUGGCGCCCUUCCACCCUCGGGGGGCUCCGCAUUCCUCAGCCAAUCCACUGCGCGGGAGCCGGCUAGUGCGCGCGAGGGUGGCCACGCUCUUGGGGCGCGAGCUUCCCUUUGCUCCGCGUGGCCCCCGGACCUCCUGAGCCCAGUCGGGGCCGGCCGUGCGGUGCAUUUCCACCCCAUAAUGCCCCAUAGCUGCUCCCGAACACCCCUCAGCCACAGUUCCUGCCCAUAUAGACAGUGUGGGCUCGAGAAAUUGCCCCGAGUCAUCAGACCCUGCAGUGACGCUUAGCCUGUAAUAUACCAGCCCUCCACGCCCUGCUUGCCCAGGCCUGCCCUCCACCGUCAGCCUGUGCUCUCUUGGCUUGGGGAGGCCAAGAAGUGGGCCUGCGUGAGGGCGGGCCAGGCAGGCAGCCUAGCGAGGGUGACCUAGAGACUCCCUGAGCCUGUGGGCAGAGGGGAGGACCCCGCCGUGGCAGGGAGCUGGGCGUGAGAGACGGAACAGCGUAGCUGAAGAGCCAUUCAUCUGCCUUGCUUCAUAUCCUCAGUAGCGCCUGUAGGAUUUCUAUUUUUUAUUUAUUUAUUUUUUUGAGACAGAGUCUCGCU